rnacentral:rRNA from 1 species
UGGGGAAUAUUGCACAAUGGGCGCAAGCCUGAUGCAGCAACGCCGCGUGAACGAUGAAGGUCUUCGGAUCGUAAAGUUCUGUUGCAGGGGAAGAUAAUGACGGUACCCUGUGAGGAAGCCCCGGCUAACUACGUGCCAGCAGCCGCGGUACUACGUAGGGGGCUAGCGUUAUCCGGAUUUACUGGGCGUAAAGGGUGCGUAGGUGGUCUUUCAAGUCGGUGGUUAAAGGCUACGGCUCAACCGUAGUUAGCCUCCGAAACUGGAAGACUUGAGUGCAGGAGAGGAAAGUGGAAUUCCCAGUGUAGCGGUGAAAUGCGUAGAUAUUGGGAGGAACACCAGUAGCGAAGGCGGCUUUCUGGACUGCAACUGACACUGAGGCACGAAAGCGUGGGUAGCAAACAGG